GACGAACGCUGGCGGCGUGCCUAAUACAUGCAAGUAGAACGGAGCGGCCGACGGGCGAGUAAUGCCUAGGAAUCUGCCUGGCCGUGGGGGAGAACGUCCGGAAACGGACGAUAAUACCGCAUACUAUCAGAUGAGACUAGGUCGGAUUAGCUAGUUGGUUGGGUAAAGGCCUACCAAGGUGACGAUCCGUAACUGGUCUGAGAGGAUGAUCAGUCACACUGUAACUGAGAGACGGUCCAGACUCCUACGGGAGGCAGCAGUGGGGAAUAUUGGACAAUGGGCGAAAGCCUGAUGCAGCCAUGCCGCGUGUGUGAAGAAGGUCUUCGGGUUGUAAAGCACUUUAAGUUGGGAGGCGUUACCAACAGAAUAAGCACCGGCUAACUUCGUGCCAGCAGCCGCGGUAAUAC
rnacentral:rRNA from 1 species